AACGAACGCUGGCGGCAUGCCUAACACAUGCAAGUCGAACGAACCCUUCGGGGUUAGUGGCGCACGGGUGCGUAACGCGUGGGAAUCUGCCCUUGGCUUCGGAAUAACAGUUAGAAAUGACUGCUAAUACCGGAUGAUGUCUUCGGACCAAAGAUUUAUCGGCCAGGGAUGAGCCCGCGUAGGAUUAGGUAGUUGGUGGGGUAAAGGCCUACCAAGCCGACGAUCCUUAGCUGGUCUGAGAGGAUGAUCAGCCACACUGGGACUGAGACACGGCCCAGACUCCUACGGGAGGCAGCAGUGGGGAAUAUUGGACAAUGGGCGCAAGCCUGAUCCAGCAAUGCCGCGUGAGUGAUGAAGGCCUUAGGGUCGUAAAGCUCUUUUACCCGGGAUGAUAAUGACAGUACCGGGAGAAUAAGCCCCGGCUAACUCCGUGCCAGCCGCCGCCGUAACAC
rnacentral:rRNA from 1 species